rnacentral:misc_RNA from 1 species
AAGUCGUAACAAGGUCUCCGUUGGUGAACCAGCGGAGGGAUCAUUACAGAGUUCUAAAAAGACUCCCAAAACCAUUGUGAACGUACCCGUCAGCGUUGCUUCGGCGGGCGGCCCCUCCCUGGGGCCGCUGCCUCCCUCACGGGGGGUGCCCGCCGGCGUAAACAAAACUCUUUUGUAUUUUAGUGGCCUCUCUGAGAAAACAAGCAAAUAAGUUAAAACUUUCAACAACGGAUCUCUUGGUUCUG